rnacentral:rRNA from 1 species
AGAGUUUGAUCAUGGCUCAGAUUGAACGCUGGCGGCAGGCCUAACACAUGCAAGUCGAGCGGUAGCACAGAGAGCUUGCUCUCGGGUGACGAGCGGCGGACGGGUGAGUAAUGUCUGGGAAACUGCCUGAUGGAGGGGGAUAACUACUGGAAACGGUAGCUAAUACCGCAUAAUGUCGCAAGACCAAAGUGGGGGACCUUCGGGCCUCAUGCCAUCAGAUGUGCCCAGAUGGGAUUAGCUCGKAGGUGGGGUAACGGCUCACCUAGGCGACGAUCCCUAGCUGGUCUGAGAGGAUGACCAGCCACACUGGAACUGAGACACGGUCCAGACUCCUACGGGAGGCAGCAGUGGGGAAUAUUGCACAAUGGGCGCAAGCCUGAUGCAGCCAUGCCGCGUGUGUGAAGAAGGCCUUCGGGUUGUAAAGCACUUUCAGCGGGGAGGAAGGCGGUGAGGUUAAUAACCUCAUCGAUUGACGUUACCCGCAGAAGAAGCACCGGCUAACUCCGUGCCAGCAGCCGCGGUAAUACGGAGGGUGCAAGCGUUAAUCGGAAUUACUGGGCGUAAAGCGCACGCAGGCGGUCUGUCAAGUCGGAUGUGAAAUCCCCGGGCUUAACCUGGGAACUGCAUUCGAAACUGGCAGGCUAGAGUCUUGUAGAGGGGGGUAGAAUUCCAGGUGUAGCGGUGAAAUGCGUAGAGAUCUGGAGGAAUACCGGUGGCGAAGGCGGCCCCCUGGACAAAGACUGACGCUCAGGUGCGAAAGCGUGGGGAGCAAACAGGAUUAGAUACCCUGGUAGUCCACGCCGUAAACGAUGUCGAUUUGGAGGUUGUGCCCUUGAGGCGUGGCUUCCGGAGCUAACGCGUUAAAUCGACCGCCUGGGGAGUACGGCCGCAAGGUUAAAACUCAAAUGAAUUGACGGGGGCCCGCACAAGCGGUGGAGCAUGUGGUUUAAUUCGAUGCAACGCGAAGAACCUUACCUGGUCUUGACAUCCACAGAACUUUCCAGAGAUGGAUUGGUGCCUUCGGGAACUGUGAGACAGGUGCUGCAUGGCUGUCGUCAGCUCGUGUUGUGAAAUGUUGGGUUAAGUCCCGCAACGAGCGCAACCCUUAUCCUUUGUUGCCAGCGGUUCGGCCGGGAACUCAAAGGAGACUGCCAGUGAUAAACUGGAGGAAGGUGGGGAUGACGUCAAGUCAUCAUGGCCCUUACGACCAGGGCUACACACGUGCUACAAUGGCAUAUACAAAGAGAAGCGACCUCGCGAGAGCAAGCGGACCUCAUAAAGUAUGUCGUAGUCCGGAUUGGAGUCUGCAACUCGACUCCAUGAAGUCGGAAUCGCUAGUAAUCGUAGAUCAGAAUGCUACGGUGAAUACGUUCCCGGGCCUUGUACACACCGCCCGUCACACCAUGGGAGUGGGUUGCAAAAGAAGUAGGUAGCUUAACCUUCGGGAGGGCGCUUACCACUUUGUGAUUCAUGACUGGGGUGAAGUCGUAACAAGGUAACCGUAGGGGAACCUGCGGUUG